GCAGUAGCUCAGUGGUAGAGCAUCUUUUUCCCAUGUAGAAGGUCUCAGGUUUGAUCUCUGGCAACACUA